UCCCCGGGGCCGAGAUGGUAAGGGAUGCAGCCCGUAAACGGGAGGUCCCGAGUUCGAACCUCGAGGUGGGGAG
rnacentral:tRNA from 1 species